rnacentral:rRNA from 1 species
CUAGGAAUUAUGCGCAAUGGACGAAAGUCUGACGCUGCGACGUCGCGUGAAGGAUGAAGGUCUUAGGAUCGUAAACUUCUUUUAUCUACGAACAAGUUCUGAGUGUAGUAGAUGAAUAAGUGCCUGCCAACCACGUGCCAGAAGCAUCGGUAAUACGUGGGACACAAGCGUUACCCGGAUUCACUGGGCGUAAAGAGAAGCGUAGGCGACUAGAAAAGUUCUGUGUUAAAUCCCAAGGCUCACCCUUGGAACCGCAUAGAAAACUCUCUGGAUUGAGUCAUGUAGAGAAUAGGGGAAUUCCUGGUGGAGCGGUUAAAUGCGUUGAUAUCAGGAGGAACACCAAUGGCGAAAGCACCUAUUUGGACAUGUACUGACGCUAAGGCUCGAAAGUGUGGGGAGC